CGCAGGGACAGAUUCAAAUGGAUUCUGACUGACCGGCGGCGGACCAGCUCGUGAGUGAUAGUCUAUGGCUGUCCCCGCAACGAUUGAUUGACAAUGACUGAGAGACCAGCAAGUCAGUCACUCCAGGAAAGCGAAGGAUCCCACUCUUGUGCCGCGCUUUGGGAAGACGCCUGUCGGUUUUGGCCGGGAAUAGGAAGGAGAAGCUGAGAUCAGGCUGACUGUGGUCCAGUCCUACUUCGAUUCAGUGUGAAUUGCCACUCUCUGCCCUGAAGACGCCCAGGCCGUUGUCAUUUCAGCACACCUGAUGCUAUUUUCCAUUUGAAGAAUGCCGCCACCAAGUGGCGGUAUUUUAACAUAGCCUUGCAAUCCGGGGAUGAGGAAGGAGAAGGGUUGGUCCCCUGGGGAGCUAAUGCUAUUCAGAUGGAGUCUCACUCUGUCACCCAGACUGGAGUGUGGUGACACAAUCUUGACUUACCUCCACCUCCCGGGUUCAAGCGAUUCUCCUGCCUCACCCUCCUAAAGCUAAAUUUUGUAUUUUUAGUAGAGACGGGGUUUGGCCACAUUGGCCAGGCUGGUCGCGAACUCAUGACCUGAGGUGAUCCAUCUACCUCAACCUCCCAAAGUGUUGGGAUUACAGGCAUGAGCCACCACGCCUGGCUAUUUCAAAAUGAAUGAAAGAGCCUCUGCUGGCACGGUGGCUUACUCCUGUAAUUCCUGCACUUUUGGGAGGCUGAGGCUAGAGGAUUACUUGAGGCCAGGAGUUCAAGACCAGCCUGGGUGACAUUGUGAGACCUCAUCUCUAAAAAAUAUUUUUUUUAAAGAAAACUAGCUGGGUGUGGUAGCACAUGCCUGCCUGUGGUCCCAGCUGCUUGGGAGGCUGAGGCAGAAAAAUAGCUUCAGCACAUGAGAGUGAGGCUGCAGUGAGCUAUGAUUGUGCCACUGCACUCCAGCCUGGGUAACAAAGUAAAACCCUGUCUUUGUUGAGUGAUAUCAACACCAGUAAACAUUUAUUAGCACUGCUCAGGCACCAGGUUCUGUACCAAAUGCUGACCAUGUGUCAUCUCUUUUAAAUCUUCCAACAAUAUUAGCUACUUGGGAGGCUGAGGCAGGAGGAUUGCUUGAGGCUUGGAGGUGAAGGCUGCAAGUGAGCUGUGAUCAUGCCCCUGUACUCCAGCUUUGGUGACACAGCAAGAGUGAGACCCUGUCUCCAAAAUGACAAAAACAAAUAUACAUUCCUCUAACAAUCUUGGGUAGAUAGAGUAUUAAUUUUUCUAUUUUUUUUUUUUUUUUUGAGAUGAAGUUUUGCUCUUGUCGCCCAGGCUGAAGUGCAAUGGCGCAAUCUCAGCUCACCAUAACCUCUGCCUCCUGGGUUCAAGUGAUUCUCCUGCCUCAGCCUCCCGAGUAGCUGGGACUACAGACAGUUGCUACGACGCCUGGCUAUAAUUGUUCUAUUUCUGUAUAACAAAUUACCACAAACUUAGAUGCUCAAAACAAUAGCCAUUUAUCAUCUUGCCGUUCUGUAGGCCAGAAUUCUGGCUGGGUACUUGCCUGGACAGUGCACAUGCUGAAAUUGGAACAAGAGUGAAAAAAUUAGCAUGGCCCUUGGCCAAGGAUGACAUGCACAUUUGUAAUGCAUUCUAGAUUUUUACAACAAUGUACACAUAGUUAAUGCUGCAUUGUACACUAAAAAUUUGGUGAAGAGGCUGGGCACGGUGGUGCAUGCCUAUAAUCCUAGCACUUUUUGGGAGGCCAAGGCAGGUGGAUCACCUAAGGUCAGAAGUUCAAGACAAGCCUGGCCAACAUGGUGACACCCCAUCUUUACUAAAAAUACAAAUUAGCCGGGCAUAGUGGCACACGCCUAUAACCCCAGCUACUUGGAAGGCUGAGGCAGGAGAAUUGCCUGAACCCAGGAGGCAGAGGUUGCAGUGAGCCAAUAUAGCACCACUGCACUCCAGCCUGGGAAACAGAGAGAGAGAGACCCCGUCUAAAAAAAAAAAAAUUAGUGAAGAGUAGCCAGGCAUGGUGGUACAUGCCUGUAAUCCCAGCUACUCCGAAGGCUGAGGUAGGAGAACCACUUGAACCUGGGAGGUGGAGGUUGCAGUGAGUGAGCUGAGAUCGUACCAGUGCACUCCAGCCUGGGUGACAAAGUGUGACUCCAUCUCAAAAAAUAAAAUAAAAGUAAAAGUAAAUAAACAAAGUACAAUGAGAUUAUUAGGGUAUGGGCCCUAAUCCAGCAGGACCAGUAUCCUUAUAAGAAGCAGAGAUUAGGCCAGGCAAUGUGGCUCAUGCCUGUAAUCCCAACACUAUAGGAGGCCAAGGCAGGUGGAUCACAAAGUCAGGAGAUCGAGAUCAUCCUGGCCAACAUGGUGAAACCCCGUCUCUACUGAAAAUACAAAAAUUAGCUGGGCAUGGUGGCGCGCACCUGUGGUCCCAGCUACUUGGGAGGCUGAGGCAGGAGAAUCGCUUGAACCCGGGAAUUGGAGGUUGCAGUGAGCCGAGAUCGUGCCACUGCACUCCAGCCUGAGAGUGAGACUCCAUCUCAAAAAUAAAUAAAUAAAUAAAAAUUUAAAAAGCAGCAGAGAUUAGGACACAGACACACACAGAGGGACGACCAUGAGAAGACAGCCAUCUACAAGUCAAGGAGAGAGGCCUCAGAAGACACGGACCCUGCCGUCACCUUUAUCUCAAACUUCUAGCCUCCAGGACUGUGAGACAAUGCACUUCUGUGACUGAAGCCAUGCAGCCUGGGUGCUCUGUUAACUGCAGGCAGAGCCAAUCCAUGCAGGUGCCCCUCAGCCUCCUUCCUCUGGCUCACAGCCCCUACCCACUCACACUGGCUACUGCCCGCAGGUCCCUGCCAUCUGUCUGCCUUCUGCCUGGCCUUUCCACCCAGUGGACUCCUCCAUCUCCAGUUCUCCUUCUCGAGAUUUUGAACUCCUGAGCUCAAGCGAUCCUCCUGCCUCGUACCAGCUCUCAGGGCAAGUUGCCGGAAAGUCCUCAGGCUCUGUCCACCCACCCCCAAUAAAAACACUCAUGUCAUGACUCGGCUCACAAACUGUGGUUUUCUGGACAGUGCAGGUGUCUACGUUUCUUCUUCUCUUCCAGAAAUCCUUUUACAUUGUGCUAAGAAAUUACUGAGGUUGAAACACACACACAAAGCCCAUGGGAAAAAGGAUGCAGGCCUCAGACCCUCAACCUUGAAGGGAGCAAGGAAAAUAGCCCUCACAGAGGCAGGGGUCCGGAGGGUCUGGUGGAGCUUGAGCAUCCACCGCCAGGCACAGGGCCCUCACUCGGGGCUGGGCCUUUCGGGCCCUGAAUAUUGCAGUGAG